UGUUGUUAGGUUUGUAUGAGCAUGUUGGAUCCUUGCUUGCGCAUCGACAAUGUCUCAUGCAUUCCAUUUCAGUUGUUGCCUCAAGUUUUACUUGGUCGUUGUGUGUUUCCUGUGCUAAAUACCUAACAUGAAGGCAUUCCAUUUGAUGUGAAUACUAUAUCCACCUUUUGAUGCCCCCAAGUGGAGUGCGUUUUGUUGGUGGACCUCAAAUCAUGCAUUUUGGUUCACAUCCUUUGCCUGCUUGUUCAUGCUUUGGUUGAUGACCCAUGAUGCUGUGUUUGAUUUCUUGGAUAUUGAAAAUUGUGAGGGAAUGGGUCUUUGGCCUUUAAUAACCCCAAAUUAUGCGUUCGACGCUAUAAGCGAACGACUGUCGUGUCUGUGUUGGGCGAGUCCUUUGGACUUGGCUCAUACGGCACCCAUGUCGGUGAGGAA
rnacentral:misc_RNA from 1 species